GGUGAUAUAGCUCAGUUGGUAGAGUGCUCACCUCACAUGCACAAGGCCCUGGGUUCAAUCCCCAGCACCACCA
rfam:Ictidomys tridecemlineatus contig031706, whole genome shotgun sequence.